rnacentral:rRNA from 1 species
CCUACGGGAGGCAGCAGUGGGGAAUUUUGCGCAAUGGGGGAAACCCUGACGCAGCAACGCCGCGUGGAGGAUGAAGUCCCUUGGGACGUAAACUCCUUUCGACCGGGACGAUACUGACGGUACCGGAAGAAGAAGCACCGGCUAACUCUGUGCCAGCAGCCGCGGUAAUACAGAGGGUGCGAGCGUUGUUCGGA